AUCUGGCUAUCUUUUUGCGCAUUGCCUGGGAUAUGUCAAAAAGCAAAGUGAGGGUUUAAGAUUUUGUAAUACUGCAGCACUUUCUAACUAAAAAUUCAAAAACAUGGUUAGUUACCAAUAUCAUCACUACAGUACUAGUGAUUUGUCUUUUAAUGGAGAAAGUGAACAAAUAAUGCCUGUGUCUAAAAGGGAACGCAAUCGUUCGACAGGCAGUAGGUGUACACCUACUAUAAAACCAGCAUUUCGGCCGUUUCUGCUGUUUUCAUCCGAAAAUCUUAUUAACAACGGAGAGGAUUUGUUUGGUGGAGGUGACACGCGUUUAACCAGUGGAUUUGGUCUUACGCGAGCAAGAUGGAGAAUAAUUAGAUUUGGAAGAAACAGGGAGCAAUUACCAAACGGCGAUCAACCUCCAACUCCGCUACGACCUUUGCAUCGAACGCUAUGGGGAAGAAAUCGAACAAGAAGGACAAACGCACCGCAGGCUGAGACUCCUAUGGAAGAGUCUCCUCCCUUCCGGCAGUUGUUUCGUGCUCGACAUCAUCGUCAUCGUUUUCGACAGCUAUGGAGAUCAUCGAAUUCGCUGACUGCUGGUCAUCAGCUCCAUCAAAGACGCCGUUCCGGGACGCGAGCAUUUGAACUGAUAGCCUAGUGUUUCUGUUAAAUUUAAAUUAAUCACCAUGAUUACCGGUGUGUUUCAGGUUAUCAUCAGAUACUAUGUAUGCAUCUAAUUGCACAUAUUCUUUUUAAAUGCAGGAUAAGCUGAGUGUUAAACCAUUUGCUUGUAUUUUGGCUUUUACUUAUGUAAGACUUGCGGAGUAAUCCAGCUGCAUGUUCUCUUCCUUCACGCUAAUUUUAACCGGAUCCAUCGUUUCGAUUAUACUCCCCGGUGGUUUAAAAUUUCCCUUUCUGUGUAUGAGUACUAACGAAAGUGCGAAUCUACAGUUAUAAAUUACAUGUCUGUUUGUGA